GUAUGAGCUAAUGUUUGGAGAGUAUAUGUUAGGUGUUCUGUUAAAAAAAACACAAAUAUUUCUAACACCGCUAUGUGUUCUUUUUAAUACAGCCUUGCUCGGCUGACUGUGGAGGAUUUUAAGAAAGCAGAAGACAGCAUCGCUCUCAUGAAGGUUCUUUACACAUCCACGCUCGCCGUGUCUUUAGAGAAGAGCUCCGCAUGCGGACAAAUACCACCCAUUCUCCAAAAGCUCCAGGCACAUUUUACCGUGAAAGAAGGCGACACAGUGUUUGCAUUCAACCUUAAAACACAUGUUUGGGCAAAGCACUACCAGAACAAUGACAGGAACUUUCUCCAAGCGGCCACUGCAUUGGAACCACGCUUUAAUCCUGAAGAUAGAUGACUGUGUUUGGGAUGAGAUCCAGAAAAAGCUGGUUGAAAAGCAGCAACCACCUCCCUGCAAACUGCCCAAACAGAUUUUUUGCUGAGGAAUAGGCACAGAACAGAGUAUCACAGCGGAGCUCUAUGUCCAUCAAGAAACGGGUGGACACUGAGGUGCAGAUGUACCAGGAAAUGCCACCAACCAUUACGUCUGGAGAACCCUGCUGCAUGCUGGUGGAACCAAAGAAGGACUUAUCCUUUGCUGUCAGAUCUCGCCUUCUCAUAUUUAUGCAUUCAAGCUUCAUCUACACCCAGUGAACGUGUGUUUUCCACUCCAAGAGACACUAUCUGUCCAGAACGCUCGUGCAUACUACCUCAGAAGGCAGAUAUGAUAAUUUUCCCCAACAAAAACUGUUUAGGAUUUUGUAUUGUACCUGGAUUGGGUUUUAUAAGUUGCCCUUGUUUGCUAUUCUGCACACACGUUAGU